rnacentral:rRNA from 1 species
GACGGGGGACGCAAGCGUUAUCCGGAAUCACUGGGCGUAAAGCGUCUGUAGGUGGUGAUGCAAGUCACUGGUGCAAAACUCUGGCUCAACCGGAGGAAAGCCAGUGAAACUGCAUGACUAGAGUGAGGGAGGGGUAGAAGGAAUUCCCUGAGUAGCGGUGAAAUGCGUAGAUACAGGGAAGAACACCGGAGGCGAAAGCGUUCUACUGGAACACAACUGACACUGGGAGGCGACAGCUAGGGGCGCUAAUGGG